AGCCCCUCAGGAUCUCACCUGGAGAGUUUCCAGUACUCUACCAGUCUCGUCUUUGGGAGGGAGAGUCAAGCAGAGGCAUACCCAUUCCAUAUAUAGCUUGGGCAAUGGCUAGCAAAUGGAAGACAUUCUGCUACAAGU